AGUAGGGCCUGCCCACUGAAUAUUUAAAGGGCCGCAGUAUCUUAACUGUGCAAAGGUAGCAUAAUCAUUAGUUUUUUAAUUGAAAGCUGGAAUGAAUGGUUUGAUGAGAAAAUUUCUGUUUCAAUAUUAAUUUUUUAGAAUUUUAUUUUUAAGUUAAAAAGCUUAAAUAUUUAUAAAAGACGAGAAGACCCUAUAGAGUUUUAUUAAUAAUUAAUUUUUUUAAAUUAGAAUUAACUUUAAAAAAAUUGUUUAUUAAUUUGAUUGGGGUGAUUAAAAAAUUAAUAAAACUUUUUUUAAAUUUUUACAUUGAUUUAUGAGUAUUUGAUCCAUUAAUAUGAUUAAAAGAAC
rnacentral:rRNA from 1 species